GGGGCCGCCAUCUUCCUCUCGCUCCGCGCCUGCGCGGUGGGAGGGCAGGGCGGGGCGGGGCGGGGCGGGAGGAAACGCGGCCAGAUCAUAGAGUCACUGAAUGGUUUGGGUUGGAAGGGACCCCAAGGACCAUCAACUUCCAACCCCCCUGCCACAGGCAGGGCCACCAGCCUCCAGGUCUGGUACUAGACCGGGCUGUCCAGGGCUCCAUCCAACCUGGCCUCGAACACCUCCAGGGAUGGAGCAUCCACAGCCCUCUGUGCAGCCUGUGCCAGCACCUCACCACUCUGUGUGAAGAACUUCCCCUGGCAUCCAACCUAAACCUUCCCUCCUUGAGCUUAAAACCAUUCCCCCUUGUCCUAUCACUGCCCACUCGAGUAAAAAGUUUAUUCCCCUCCUGUUUAUAAUCCCUUUUUAAAUACUGGAAGGCUGCAAUGAAGUCACCCCAUAGCCUUCUGUUUUCCAGGCUGAACAAGCCCAGCUCCCUCUGCCUAACUUCAUAGGGGAGGUGCGCAGCCCUCAGAGCAUUCCACGAAUGGUCCUCUUUUGGAAGAAAUGGAACCGCUUGUGGGGCUGUGGCUGUUCUCAAAGGGAGGCAGGGAGGACAGCUUUUGGGGUUUCUCCUUGGCUGCCUCCCUCAGAAGCACAGGCCGAGCUGUGCUCCUGCAGUACUGCAGCUCUUCUGCUCCCACCCACAGGCGCUGCCAGGGUGGCGGUGCAGAUCAUGGCUGAAAGGUGAGUGAUGGCAGCACUUGGUUAUCAAACAGGCUGCGGUAACACACUGUGUUGGUUUGGGUUUGAAAUCCAAAGUUGGGAUUUUACCUGCCUGUGAGACUCAUUCUAGAGAACAGCCGGUGUUCAUGGAGGAGGAGGUGUGCUGCAGGUCACAGGUCUCUGUGCUGGGGCACAAGGAGUGCCAGCAGUGAGACAGAGCCAACAGUGGGACAGAGCACCUGAGGGAGGCAGGCUGGGUGACAGGGCUUAGUGCCUUGCUCCAGGGCGCUGCCUGUACUCCCGGACCCAGGGCUGGGGGGGCAGGGGCAGGCACCCAGAGGCCUUGAUGUGACCUCACCACUGAGCCCCUGUGUGGGAAUACUGGUGUGUGGCCAGGGCAAGGCCAGGUACUGAAGCAAGAGGCCUGGGUGAUCACAAGGCUCCUGCAGAAAUGCUCACAGACCUGUGCUGCAUGGCUCACCUUCCCUGCACUGUGACUGGGGCUCAGCACGUGACACAAUGAUGGCACAGAUGGUGACACAAUUGCUGCCAUGGUCCCACAGUGCAGUCAGAGCUGCUCCACGGGGCCUCAUCCCUGCCCUCUCUGGGCAUCCACAGGACUCCUAUACUUUCCCAGCCCAGAAUGCAGAGACAGCUAUCAUCCCACUGUCUACACUGUCAAAUAUGUUUCCAUCUCCUGUCCUCUUAGAUUACCAUCCCUGGGUAUCCCUGCUUGCCCCACAGACCAGGGUGCACACCUGUGUGGCAGACAUGUAGAAGGCAGCAGGGCUCUGGGCAGAAUAGCAAUGAUGACAUGGCCCCAUGGCUCUCAGAGCUACCACCACAGGGAACACCUCCCCUACUUCCAGUCUCAUCCACAUGGGGCAGGUCCAGGGCUGGGACACUGUCCCUCAGCUUGCUGCCCCUAGACAGUGACUGCCUUGGCCCCAUCACAGGCAGGACCGCAGCAGCAGUCACGUGUCCCUUGUACUUUCCUCUUCUCUGUGCAGAGCACUCUGAGCCUGCUCACUCCUAGUCAGCAAUUUCUGUUGUUCACCCAGUUGGGGUUUGCAAAGGCUUUCACCCACACUCCUGCACCUCCUGCUCAUGCCUUCCCAUACAGAGCAAAAAUCAACACAAAAAUUCCAUCUGUAUGCAGAAAAACAUUCCAACUAGGCUAUUUUCAAUGCUGCCAGCCUGGGCCAAGCAGAGCUGCCCACGAGGAGUAAAGGACAACGCUCUGAGCUGGAGCCAGAGUGCAAGAGCAGUGCAGAGUGGCUGAGGUGCAGCAAGGUGAUGCACAACAAAAGGACCUCCUGCUCAGUAACUGGAGAUGUUAGUUCUUUAACAGACAUUGAAUAGUGUAUGGGAACUGUUGAAUCAAAGCCUGAACCUCUGAUUGACCACCUGAGGCAAACACCGAGUCAGCCACAGGAGUGUAGGUGAAGGCAAUUCAUCUGUGUGACUGGAAGGGGUGGAGCCACGCUCUGCCUCUCCUAGACCCCAUUUAAGGGCUGACUGCCAGAGAGGAAGGAUCUUUUCCUGGAGAUUGCUCCUUGUGGAGUUUUUGUGGACCUACAACACUGGUACCCAAGCAUCGCACCCGUUUGUGAGCCAGCCAACAUACAAGAACACAUGUGGGACUGACACAUCUACAGGCUCCAGGGCAAGGGACAAGGCAGACCACACCCCAGCUCCUCACAACCCACCCCCCUCUGGAGGGUACCCCAGCAGGAGCUGCCCUCCUCUAUCCCAAGGCCAGCAGGCUUGACAUCUGUACCACUUUUCUACAGAUGCUUCUGGGUGGCUUUAGUACCCCACCAGGAAAGGCAAGUUGUUACCUGUAGCCUUGGGAGACCUGACUCCUUCCCACAUCUCUUAAAUCAACAACUCAAGUGUUUGUUACAAAGUUAUUUAUUAGAAUAUUACAUUGCCCUUAAAAAAUAAAAGAGGCCUGACCCACGCAAGGGUCAUCUUGACCUACACAAAGAGUGCAGAGGCAGACCUCC